GAGGAGGUGACGUGCGACUGUCUUGAGUGGUGGAUUUUCCGUGACAUGGCAUUAACGGGCGCUGUUACUGGUGGAAUAUCGGUGGACGUCUCUGUGACCUUUUUCCUGGGAAGAAAGUGCAGAGUCUGUGGGGAAAAGAGAAGCAGCUCAGGACGAAAUGGAUGGAAGGAAAGUUUUUCCCAAAGCGCGACGCGACUCUCCGUCCCCUGAACUGUGAGUGUUACACAAAUGCUUUAACACACAUGCAUUACAACUACUCGUGACCUGUGAACAGACUCUGGUCUGUACACUAUAUUCAUUGUAUUACAGUCGCACUGUGA